AGAACAUACAAAAAAUUCAAGAUGAGA
rnacentral:sRNA from 1 species